rnacentral:rRNA from 1 species
AGCGAACGCUGGCGGCAGGCCUAACACAUGCAAGUCGAACGAACUCUUCGGAGUUAGUGGCGGACGGGUGAGUAACACGUGGGAACGUGCCUUUAGGUUCGGAAUAACUCAGGGAAACUUGAGCUAAUACCGGAUGUGCCCUUCGGGGGAAAGAUUUAUCGCCUUUAGAGCGGCCCGCGUCUGAUUAGCUAGUUGGUGAGGUAAAGGCUCACCAAGGCGACGAUCAGUAGCUGGUCUGAGAGGAUGAUCAGCCACAUUGGGACUGAGACACGGCCCAAACUCCUACGGGAGGCAGCAGUGGGGAAUCUUGCGCAAUGGGCGAAAGCCUGACGCAGCCAUGCCGCGUGAAUGAUGAAGGUCGUAGGAUUGUAAAAUUCUUUCACCGGGGACGAUAAUGACGGUACCCGGAGAAGAAGCCCCGGCUAACUUCGUG